UGAACGCUGGCGGCAUGCCUUACACAUGCAAGUCGAACGCGAAAGCGGAGCAAAUCCGUAAGUAGAGUUGGCGAACGGGUGAGUAAUGCAUCGGAACAUUUCCAGUAGCGGGGGAUAAACCUGUCGAAAGAUAGGCUAAUACCGCAUUACGCCCCACGGGGGAAAGCGGAGGACCGCAAGGCUUCGCACUAUUGGAGUGGCCGAUGUCGGAUUAGCUAGUUGGUGAGGUAACGGCUCACCAAGGCGACGAUCCGUAGCUGGUCUGAGAGGACGACCAGCCACACUGGGACUGAGACACGGCCCAGACUCCUACGGGAGGCAGCAGUGGGGAAUAUUGGACAAUGGGGGGAAACCCUGAUCCAGCGACGCCGCGUGUGUGAAGAGGCCUGCGGGUUGUAAAGCACUUUUAGUGGGGAGGAAAACACUCGACCUAACACGUCGAGAAUUGACUUAACCCAAGAAAAAGCACCGGCUAACUCUGCGCCAGCAGCCGCU
rnacentral:rRNA from 1 species